rnacentral:rRNA from 1 species
UAGGGAAUCUUCCGCAAUGGGCGAAAGCCUGACGGAGCAACGCCGCGUGAGUGAUGAAGGUCUUCGGAUCGUAAAACUCUGUUAUUAGGGAAGAACAAAUGUGUAAGUAACUAUGCACGUCUUGACGGUACCUAAUCAGAAAGCCACGGUUAACUACGUGCCAGCAGCCGCGGUAAUACGUAGGUGGCAAGCGUUAUCCGGAAUUAUUGGGCGUAAAGCGCGCGUAGGUGGUUUUUUAAGUCUGAUGUGAAAGCCCACGGCUCAACCGUGGAGGGUCAUUGGAAACUGGAAAACUUGAGUGCAGAAGAGGAAAGUGGAAUUCCAUGUGUAGCGGUGAAAUGCGCAGAGAUAUGGAGGAACACCAGUGGCGAAGGCGACUUUCUGGUCUGUAACUGACGCUGAUGUGCGAAAGCGUGGGAAUCAAACAGG